UAAUGAGAAUUUUGAUCUAAAUAAUACUUUGCAUCUCACUUCAAACAUUUCUGGAAUUCAUAUUUCACGAGUUGUGAAGGCUUCUUCCAUUCAUUCACCAGGAUUUCCUAGCAAAUGAGAGUCCACUUCCUUCCUAGUUAACUACAAAUUUGUAUUCUACCUAGGCUUAAUGCUAGUGAAGGAAAAUUAACUUUCAUUUUUACCAGAAUAUUUGAGGUGCAGAUGAAAAAUGCCUUGCUGUAUUGCAAAAGUGUUAAGUUAUGCUUUUUUUGCCAGGUUUGUGGCAAUCAGAGUUUUUCACAGAGCUCUGAUCCUGAAUGAUUACUUUGGUCCCAGGCAUCUGAACACAGGGCUGUUCUGCAUUGAAUGUGUGUGCUGGCUUCUUGGGAUAGGAAGGAUGAUUUUGAUUUUCUACAGAGAAACAUAUUUCCCAGAUUGAAGAGGACUGCGUGUGAGGAAAUACUAAGACACAAGAAAAGUUGUUCCAAAGAUAUUAAAAAAAUUCUUUGAUCAUGGUGAUGGUGUCAAGCAGCAGAUUACUGAGUACGUUCUCUUCUAUUUAACUUACAGAAAAAUAAGUGAAAGACACAAAGUAUUCCAUUCUUCUAUGUCUUUUCCCUUCUAUACUACAAUUAACAAAAUCAUAUCUAUUUGAAGCUUCAAGUAAACUUGAAAAAUGCUUGAAGUACAUAAAAUUAAGUAGCAAGAUAAAAGGUUUUAAACAGUUGAGACAUUUUUUUUUUUCAUUAGUUAGAGGAGCUUGUGGGGUAGUUCUAUGGAUAUCAGGACAAAUGAAGAGAUUUUUUUAAAAAAAGAUGGGAAUAUGAGCAUCUGCAGAAGACUUCCAUAGAAGAAGAACAUGUCUUAUGGAGAAGUCUUU
rnacentral:lncRNA from 1 species